AUGAGCUGGUUUUCCGUCGGUGAAUACAGUGGACUCUUCAAGAUUGAGGGCAAACUGCAUAUGCCGAGGGUGUCCAUCGACAACCUGCCCAAUGUCCAUAUUCACCGAGGAGUACAACCAGAGACACUGUUGACUGCGUGCGCCAAGCCCUCCGACGCCCAGCCGUCCGCUAUGGUCUCUGCCCGAAGAAGGAUUAUGGUUCUCCACCUCUCUGCUACUCAUAUUAGAAUUCUGGCUUUUGAUAUACUUCAAACGAGAUUCUUUAUAUGUUGUUCGAUUCCUCUUGCUAUCACCACAAGGGGAAAUUGCUUACGGUGGCAAUAUGCUCUUCUAUGUUGUCUGAUUGACUCUUUUUAUUAG
rnacentral:rRNA from 1 species